AGCACAGAGGGAGGAAAGCCCCUGGUGCUGAGCUGUGGUGGCUCCUGUGGGCACUGGGUGAGCUGAGGCUUUGAAGAUGAGGUUCAGAUGCCACACCUCAGCAGGAAAGACUGCCCAGUGAUGAAGUUACGUGAUCACUGAAAAUCUGAAAUGCAGGAAAUCUCCUUUUACAGCUGGAUGUCAUGGGCUCAUCCCUGUUCCUUGCACUUCCUUGAAAUCACUGUCUUUCCUUUAAAAUGCCUUUUAUUCCUCUUUUCACAACAAUCCAUUUUAAAUGUUGAACUUCAA